rnacentral:rRNA from 1 species
UACGUAGGGGGCAAGCGUUGUCCGGAAUUAUUGGGCGUAAAGAGCGCGUAGGCGGUCCGAUAAGUCGGCUGUGAAAGUCAGGGGCUCAACCCUUGGCAGCCGGCCGAUACUGUCGGACUAGAGUCCGGAAGAGGCGAGUGGAAUUCCCGGUGUAGCGGUGAAAUGCGCAGAUAUCGGGAGGAACACCAAUGGCGAAGGCAGCUCGCUGGGACGGUACUGACGCUGAGGCGCGAAAGCGUGGGGAGCAAACAGG